AGCGAACGCUGGCGGCAGGCUUAACACAUGCAAGUCGAACGCCCCGCAGGGGGAGUGGCAGACGGGUGAGUAACACGUGGGAACGUACCCUUUGGUUCGGAAUAACUUGGGGAAACUCAAGCUAAUACCGGAUAAGCCCUUAUGGGGAAAGGUUUACUGCCGAAGGAUCGGCCCGCGUCUGAUUAGCUAGUUGGUGAGGUAAUGGCUCACCAAGGCGACGAUCAGUAGCUGGGCUGAGAGGAUGAUCAGCCACACUGGUACUGAGACACGGCCCAGACUCCUACGGGAGGCAGCAGUGGGGAAUAUUGGAAAAUGGGGGCAACCCUGAUCCAGCCAUGCCGCGUGAGUGAUGAAUGCCUUAGGGUUGUAAAGCUCUUUUACCCGGGACGAUAAUGACUGUACCGGGAGAAUAAGCCCCGGCUAACUUCGUGCCAGCCGCCGCAGUAA
rnacentral:rRNA from 1 species